rnacentral:rRNA from 1 species
GGCCUUUAGCCCCACCAAGUAUUAAAGGUCCCGCCUGCCCAGUGACCCCCUUCAACGGCCGCGGUAUCAUAACCGUGCAAAGGUAGCGUAAUCACUUGUCUCCUAAAUAGAGACCCGUAUGAAUGACUAAAUGAGGGCAAGCCUGUCUCCUGCGGCCAAUCAAUAAAACUGAUCCAUCAGUACAAAAGCUGAUAUACUAACAUAAGACGAGAAGACCCUGUGGAGCUUUAAACACCCUAUUAAUUAGCCGCACACCCUCGCCCCCCGGCACUUACGUACAAGCAGGGAAUAACUAGGCGUUUUAAGUUGGGGCGACUGCGGAACAAAACAAACCUUCCACGAGACAAGACUAACCAUCGCACAGGGCCGACGGGCCAAAAAUUGACCCAGUAAAACUGAUCAACGAACCAAGUUACCCCAGGGAUAACAGCGCUAUCCCCUUUAAGAGUCCCUAUCGCCAAGGGGGCUUACGACCUCGAUGUUGGAUCAGGACACCCCGGUGGUGCAGCCACUACCAAAGGUUCGUUUGUUCAACGAUUAAAGUCCU